rnacentral:tRNA from 2 species
GGCCCUUUAGCUCAGUUGGUUAGAGCAGUCGACUCAUAAUCGAUUGGUCGCUGGUUCAAGUCCAGCAAGGGCCACCA